rnacentral:rRNA from 1 species
GACAGAGGGGGCAAGCGUUGCUCGGAAUCACUGGGCGUAAAGGGCGCGUAGGCGGGAUGGCAAGUCGGUCGUGAAAUCCUUCGGCUCAACCGAAGAACGUCGGCCGAUACUGCCGUUCUUGAGGGAUGCAGAGGAGAUUGGAAUUCCCGGUGUAGCGGUGAAAUGUGUAGAGGUCGGGAGGAACACCGGUGGCGAAGGCGGGUCUCUGGGCAUCUCCUGACGCUGAGGCGCGAAAGCGUGGGGAGCAAACGGG